UACGUAGGGACCAGGCGUUGUUCGGAUUUACUGGGCGUAAAGGGCGCGUAGGCGGCCGAUUAAGUCAUCUGUGAAAUCUCCGAGCUUAACUCGGAACGGUCAGGUGAUACUGAUCUGCUAGAGUGCGGAAGGGGCAAUCGGAAUUCUUGGUGUAGCGGUGAAAUGCGUAGAUAUCAAGAGGAACACCUGAGGUGAAGACGGGUUGCUGGGCCGACACUGACGCUGACAGCGCGAAAGCCAGGGGAGCAAACGGG
rnacentral:rRNA from 1 species